AAUAGAUACCCGGGUAGUCCACGCCGUAAACGAUGGAUACUAGCUGUUUGAGCGCAAGUUUGAGUGGCUAAGCGAAAGUGAUAAGUAUCCCACCUGGGGAGUACGGGCGCAAGCCUGAAACUCAAAGGAAUUGACGGGGGCCCGCACAAGCGGUGGAGCAUGUGGUUUAAUUCGAUGAUACGCGAGGAACCUUACCAGGGCUUAAAUGUAGAUUGACGUAUUUGGAAACAGAUAUUUCUUCGGACAAUUUACAAGGUGCUGCAUGGUUGUCGUCAGCUCGUGCCGUGAGGUGUCAGGUUAAGUCCUAUAACGAGCGCAACCCCUGUUGUUAGUUGCCAGCGAGUAAUGUCGGGAACUCUAGCAAGACUGCCAGUGUAAACUGUGAGGAAGGUGGGGAUGACGUCAAAUCAUCACGGCCCUUACGUCCUGGGCCACACACGUGCUACAAUGGCCGGUACAGAGAGCAGCCACUUAGCGAUAAGGAGCGAAUCUAUAAAGCCGGUCACAGUUCAGA
rnacentral:rRNA from 1 species